GAUCAUAUUAAAUUAAAUUUAAAUCUGAUUUAAUUUUUUAAUUGAAUUAGAAAUUAGGUUGACCCAAGUCCUAAUUGAACUAGGACUAGUUUUUCCUUGCACUUGGCUUAUCCAAUAAACCAAUUGAACUUGAUCCAAUCAAGUUCAAACUAAAUUUAAUUAAAUUAUAUUUAAUUAGACUUAAUCUCAGCCCAUUGGCUUAAUCAAAUUAAGUCAAUUAGCAAUCGACUUGCUAAUCGAUCCUCCUGCAACACUUGCAUUAGGUUAAAUGUCAAUCGUAUUGAUCGUUUAACCCUAGAACAAUUCUUAAUCAUUGAUCAAGCAUU
rnacentral:lncRNA from 1 species